CCUACAUGUCGAGUCGGUCCCUUCUUAUAUACUGUGUAUGGGCACUCCUCUUUAAUGCAUCAGCGUCAAUGUAGGCAAAGGUCUAACGGAAAUAAAAUCACUAUAAAUCGUCAAAAUCUCAUGCGAUGUUCUAGUUUUUUU